UCAAACAAGACGUUUGGUACUACAUGACUGACUUUCAAGUCAUCAUACCUCCAAACCAAGUCAGAUAUUCAACUAUGCCACUUCAGGUUAGGUUUAUGAGAGAAACUACCAUGUGGCCUGUUAGAUCUAAGUCCUGGAACAAUUACUGGAACUUUGUUUGGCCUGAUACUGUCAGAAAUGCUCAUGAAGAUGAUAAAAACUCUGUCUCUGGUAAUAAUUUGUGAAAUUAAAUGUUUUAUACCAAGAUUUAUUAUAUAUGAAGACUUAUAUGACCAUUUUCCUGUAAUAUUUACUUAGAUGCUAUGGGAGUUAUCUCUGCUGUUUCCACCAUAGGAAGGUUUCCAUAUGUGUGUCGCAGAGGAGAAACAGACUAUGAAUCUCGCUAUGUCUGCUUCAAAAUUAAAAAUAAUGUGUAAGUUUAGUUUACCCUCUGUGACAGAAUUUCAAUGGUUGUUCUUAAAUUACUUUAAGAAAUUGGAUUGACUGUUCUUUUUGUUUGGAAAUUAAACUUUUAAUCUAGGGGGGAGACAAUAAAAUGCGUAGCUGUGGGAAAGUGGUGUGAGUUCUUUGUGAACACUUGGUCUCAGAAAAUAAGCGGAAUAAACUACAACUAUGAUAAGAUUGUUGCAGUCUUGCGUUUCUGGAGAAUAACUUCUUACUGUGGAAACAAUGUUUUAAUGAGUGAAUAUGGCUGUUCACGUCUAUACAUUGAUCCAAUCUUUUAUGAACUUGACAUUCCAAGUUAUCUGCGAUCAUUCGACGAUGGAUCAAGUGACGAAGAUGAUGUGAUGAUGGAGAUGGUUGCUGAGAACUAACAUGUGAAGGAAGGAGGGAUUGGAUUUGCAAGGUUACUUCAGUUUCUCUUAGUUUAUGUUGUUUUUUUUAAA